CUCAAACCCCAAAGGUGUCACAGGUAUACACACACACACACACAUACACACACACACACAUUGAUAAUGACCCUUCUCUUCAAACCCCAAAGGUGUCACAGGAAGAAGACUCUGAAGAUAUAUACAUAAAUGACAUGAUGGGUGACAGUCCUGAGAACAUUUACUUGAACAGCUGAACUUGGGAACAAUGGAGAAAUUAUUAUAGUACUGUACAUCAUCAUUGGAUAUAUUACAGUGUCAAGUAGAUUGAGUGGAAUAUAUCCCAAAUCAGAUAAGGUUGUUGUUUCCCCACCUCUCUUGUUGUUUUGUCCAAACCUUGUCUAGCCAUAGUUGGGCAUUAAUAUCAUGAAAAGUAUUAUUCAUAGCCAGCCCAAACUCCCGAGGAUGGAAGACAAACAUCAACUUCAACAAAACCAACUUUUUAUUAUAAACUUUUGUACCUA